rnacentral:lncRNA from 1 species
GGUGUGAAAUGCUGCUUUUUGAUGGCUUCAAUGGUCUAGAUGACAAACAUGUAAGUAGAAUUGUCUAACUUACAAAACUGACAUAUGGGCAUUUUGCCAUCAAGAUACUUUAAAUAUGUUUUAAACAAUAACCUUUUUUUUUUUUUUUUUUUUUUUUUAACAAUUUGAAGUUGUGAAUGAAGCAAAAGACAACAAAGAAUGUGAUUUGAAACAAGCACAUGCAAGGACUAAGCAUCCGUAAAGCACCUAAACUAUCUAUAUUCAUAUCUUCUAGUUCACAUAUUACAAACUUUUUGAAGACCAGGGAUUAUAUAUUUUGUUAUCCUCUUGCAAUGAUAAAAUUGAUAUAGUCUCUAAUCAUUCUGAUUUUAUUUGUCUUUUUCAAAGUAAAUAAAUAAAUAUAUAUAUUUAUUUAGGGGAAUAUAUAGCCCUCAACUUUGCUACCAAAUUAAGAUUACUACUCGUUUAGUAACGAAGGAAAUAUAUAUUGGCUAGUCCUAUCCCAAUUGAUCUUUCCACCUUUCUUAGAUUAGAGGGAAAACAAAAGUUAUUAGAAAAAGUGCUUUUAAGGACUUAAUUUUGGCCAUAUAUAAAAGUUAAAAUUAAGAUUUUUAACUUGUGAUUUUUGGCUUAUACAUAAGUAAGCCAAAAACCAAUUCAACUGGACUCAAGUCAUACUUUUAUUCACAGAAACGCCUUACUUUAUCCAUUCUUAAAUACUUUAUUUGUCACAUUUUUAAUUUGCAUAUCUUGCAUCACUGAACAAGUGCUCAUCGAUCUUGUCAUUCUCAUAAAGAUAUUUCCUUUCUGAAAAUAUUCUGAAUCAAUUUUUGAAGUUGUUUUUUUACCUUUUCUCUUUUGAGAUAUACAAAUAAAAUCCUCACUUUGAUAUGAUCUUGAUACUGUUGAUUAUUUCAAGGUAUUUAAAUAUUGAAUAGUUUGUGUAUGUUGGGUUCUCUUAUUAUAAAUAGUGUAUGUGAUGGAACUAUUCUAUUCAACUCAUCUCAUCUCUUCUUUUCUUAUUUUUUAACUUUGGUUAAUUAGAGGCUUAUUAAAGUAAAUUAAUCUAAACUCUUGAAUUUUAAACAUGACAAGUAUCGUCAUUCAUCUAAACGUGCACUUGAGGAAAUGAAGAAAAGGUGUAAUUGAGAGGAGACAAAUCCAGCUUCCAUUCAUCUAAGUUCUAAUUCUAAUAAAAAUCUAGAUCGAUCAUCAAUACAGAUCGAUAAGUGGUAUGUUGCUAAAGUUUAAUUUGUAGAAGAAGAAAUAGUGAUAGGAUUGAAGGGAAAUGUAUAUCAAGAGAUUAAAUGCACUAUAUGGUAUAUUGCUAAUGAAGAUUGAAAUUGAAAGAAAUAAUUAAUAAGUUGUGU